rnacentral:rRNA from 1 species
UACGUAGGGUGCGAGCGUUAAUCGGAAUUAUUGGGCGUAAAGAGCUCGUAGGCGGUUUGUCGCGUCUGCUGUGAAAACCCGAGGCUCAACCUCGGGCCUGCAGUGGGUACGGGCAGACUAGAGUGCGGUAGGGGAGAUUGGAAUUCCUGGUGUAGCGGUGGAAUGCGCAGAUAUCAGGAGGAACACCGAUGGCGAAGGCAGAUCUCUGGGCCGUAACUGACGCUGAGGAGCGAAAGCAUGGGGAGCGAACAGG